UACGUAGGGUGCGAGCGUUGUCCGGAAUUAUUGGGCGUAAAGAGCUCGUAGGCGGUGUGUCACGUCGUUCGUGAAAACCUGCAGCUUAACUGUGGGCGUGCGGUCGAUACGGGCAUCACUGGAGUUCGGCAGGGGAGACUGGAAUUCCUGGUGUAGCGGUGAAAUGCGCAGAUAUCAGGAGGAAGACCAGUGGCGAAGGCGGGUCUCUGGACAGUUCCUGACACUGAGACACGAAGGCCAGGGGAGCAAACGGG
rnacentral:rRNA from 1 species